GUCGAUUUGGCCGAGUGGUUAAGGCGCUGGUCUUGAAGAGCGGAAGCUAUGCUCCAGAUAACCAGUGGGAUUUCCCUCACAGGUUCGAACCCUGUAGUCGACG